CCUCGAACGAAUGAGACAUACAAACCAAGCCGGAAUGUAGAGAAACGACCUAUGUUAUUACAAAACAACAUUUAUAGUAGGGUGAAAACAGCGUCUGCCACACGGUUAUUACAUACUAAAACAUAACCAAAAACCAAAGGAAAACCCCAAGACCCAUUAUCACAAGCCUUCAAUAAUAGCACAAAACCGACGAGAGGGCCUCGAGAGAAGAAGAAGGGUUCGAGAGGCAAACAACGUAGCUGGAUGGAGGUCGUCGAAACACAGCGAGGAAUUCUCCUCCCAAUUUUCCAUUCAAUCUUUAACUUCAGAGGGCACUAUCAAAGUGGCCAAAGUCUCCUAUCAAUCGUCGAGCAGGAAAAGAUGGUUGAUAUUGAAAUGAAUGUGAAUUAGCAAGAGGGUGUGGAUGAUGCUCAAACUAAGGAAGGAGGAGAUGUACCAAUGGAAACUAAUGAAAAAAACAACGGGUGUAAAGGCAAAAAAAAGUUAGGGUGGUGUCCCCCGUUAGGGAG